rnacentral:rRNA from 1 species
GACAUAGGUGGCGAACGUUAUCCGGAAUUAUUGGGCGUAAAGAGUGCGUAGGCGGCACAACAAGUCGGGAGUGAAAGCCCGGGGCUCAACCCCGGAAUGUCUUUCGAAACUGUUGAGCUAGAGUGCAGAAGAGGCAACUGGAAUUCCCAGUGUAGCGGUGAAAUGCGUAGAUAUUGGGAAGAACACCUGAGGCGAAGGCGGGUUGCUGGGCUGACACUGACGCUGAGGCGCGAAAGCCAGGGGAGCGAACGGG